GAUGAGGCCACUUUCAGCACUGGAGGACGGUACUCUUUGGAAGGAAGUAAAUGUGCCUGGAUAUAUAAAAAUGUGUAUGUAUAUAUACAUGUUAAGACAGCGGAUUGGUUCUGAUGCAGUGCCAACAGAAUGCAUGAUCUAAUUGUCCCAUUGUCCUCUGCCAAAAAAAAGCAGGAACGGGCUUUCCAGUGUUCAUUACGGAGUACUGAACAUAUAUGGUGUUAGAGUG
rnacentral:lncRNA from 1 species